GAUGAACGCUGGCGGCGUGCCUAAUACAUGCAAGUCGAGCGAAUGGACGAGAAGCUUGCUUCUCUGAUGUUAGCGGCGGACGGGUGAGUAACACGUGGAUAACCUACCUAUAAGACUGGGAUAACUUCGGGAAACCGGAGCUAAUACCGGAUAAUAUUUUGAACCGCAUGGUUCAAAAGUGAAAGUCGGUCUUGCUGUCACUUAUAGAUGGAUCCGCGCUGCAUUAGCUAGUUGGUAAGGUAACGGCUUACCAAGGCAACGAUGCAUAGCCGACCUGAGAGGGUGAUCGGCCACACUGGAACUGAGACACGGUCCAGACUCCUACGGGAGGCAGCAGUAGGGAAUCUUCCGCAAUGGGCGAAAGCCUGACGGAGCAACGCCGCGUGAGUGAUGAAGGUCUUCGGAUCGUAAAACUCUGUUAUUAGGGAAGAACAUAUGUGUAAGUAACUGUGCACAUCUUGACGGUACCUAAUCAGAAAGCCACGGCUAACUACGUG
rnacentral:rRNA from 1 species